CAGGCCUAACACAUGCAAGUCGAGCGGGCGUACGAAUACGUCAGCGGCAGACGGGUGAGUAACGCGUGGGAACAUACCUUUUGGUUCGGAACAACACAGGGAAACUUGUGCUAAUACCGGAUAAGCCCUUACGGGGAAAGAUUUAUCGCCGAAAGAUUGGCCCGCGUCUGAUUAGCUUGUUGGUGAGGUAACGGCUCACCAAGGCGACGAUCAGUAGCUGGUCUGAGAGGAUGAUCAGCCACAUUGGGACUGAGACACGGCCCAAACUCCUACGGGAGGCAGCAGUGGGGAAUAUUGGACAAUGGGCGAAACGUCAGAUCCAGCCAUGCCGCGUGAGUGAUGAAGGCCCUAGGGUUGUAAAGCUCUUUUGUCCGGGAAGAUAAUGACUGUACCGGAAGAAUAAGCCCCGGCUAACUUCGUGCCAGCAGCCGCGGUAAUACGAAGGGGGCUAGCGUUGCUCGGAAUCACUGGGCGUAAAGGGUGCGUAGGUGGAUUUUUAAGUCAGAGGUGAAAUCCUGGAGCUCAACUCCAGAACUGCCUUUGAUACUGAGAGUCUUGAGUUCGGGAGAGGUGAGUGGAACUGCGAGUGUAGAGGUGAAAUUCGUAGAUAUUCGCAAGAACACCAGUGGCGAAGGCGGGCUCACUGGCCCGAUACUGACACUGAGGCACGAAAGCGUGGGGAGCAAACAAGAUUAGAUACCACUGGUAGUCCACGCCGUAAACGAUGAAUGCCAGCCGUUGGGGAGUUUACUCUUCAGUGGCGCCAGUAAACGCUUUAAGCAUUCCGCCUGGGGAGUACUAGGUCGCAAGAUUAAAACUCAAAGGAAUUGACGGGGGCCCGCACAAGCGCUGGGAGCAUGUGGUUUAAUUCGACGCAGCGCGCAGAACCUUACCAGCCCUUGACAUCCCGGUCGCGGUUUCCAGAGAUGGAUUCCUUCAGUUCGGCUGGACCGGUGACUAGGGUGCUGCAUGGCUGUCGUCAGCUCGUGUCGUGAGAUGUUGGGUUAAGUCCCGCAACGAGCGCAACCCCCGUCCUUAGUUGCUACCAUUUAGUUGAGCACUCUAAGGAGACUGCCGGUGAUAAGCCGCGAGGAAGGUGGGGAUGACGUCAAGUCCUCAUCGUUACGGGCUGGGCUACACACGUGCUACAAUGGCGGUGACAAUGUGGACGCUAAGGAGCAAUCCUUCGCAAAUCUCAAAAAGCCGUCUCAGUUCGGAUUGGAGCUCUGCAACUCGAGCCCAUGAAGUUGGAAUCGCUAGUAAUCGUGGAUCAGCAUGCCACGGUGAAUACGUUCCCGGGACUUGUACACACCGCCC
rnacentral:rRNA from 1 species